UACGUAGGGGGCAAGCGUUGUCCGGAUUUAUUGGGCGUAAAGAGCGUGUAGGCGGCCAAGCAGGUCAGCUGUGAAAACUCGAGGCUCAACCUCGAGACGUCGGUUGAAACCGCUUGGCUAGAGUCCGGAAGAGGAGAGUGGAAUUCCCGGUGUAGCGGUGAAAUGCGCAGAUAUCGGGAAGAACACCCGUGGCGAAGGCGGCUCGCUGGGACGUUACUGACACUGAGGCGCGAAAGCGUGGGGAGCGAACAGG
rnacentral:rRNA from 1 species